GACGAACGCUGGCGGCGUGCCUAACACAUGCAAGUCGAGCGGUCCGGCACUCAACUAAGUGCUUACUUAAGGGGAAGGAAGUAUAGUAGAAGAAGAAGGUAAUAAAAGUGAUGCAAAGUAAGGUAAGCGCGGAGUUGAGUGCCGGAUAGCGGCGGACGGGUGAGUAACGCGUGGGCAACCUACCCUUAAGACCGGGAUAACACCUCGAAAGGGGUGCUAAUACUGGAUAAGCUCCUUGUAGGGCAUCCUAUGGGGAGGGAAGGUAGCGGAAGCUACCGCUUAAGGAUGGGCCCGCGUCCCAUCAGCUAGUUGGUAGGGUAACGGCCUACCAAGGCGACGACGGGUAGCCGGCCUGAGAGGGUGGUCGGCCACACUGGGACUGAGACACGGCCCAGACUCCUACGGGAGGCAGCAGUGGGGAAUCGUUGCGCAAUGGGCGAAAGCCUGACGCAGCGACGCCGCGUGAGCGAAGAAGGC
rnacentral:rRNA from 1 species